rnacentral:snRNA from 1 species
AUCAGUUCUUGGCUUUUUGGCUAAGAUCAAGUGUAGUAUAUUCUUAACAGUUCACUCUGUGAUACGAGAUCAAUAUAUUAAAUGUAUUUUCCCAUUUGGGAGAUGGAAUAGGAGCUUGCUCUAUCUACUCCAUUCUCCACUGGUAUUAAGGUACCUACGGGAAGGGUGCCACCCCA